GAACGCUCCAGCAAUGGAGAGUGGCAGACGGGUGAGUAACGCGUGGGAACCUUCCCAGUGGUACGGAAUGGCUCAGGGAAACUUGAGGUAAUACCGUAUACGCCCCUCGGGGGAAAGAUUUAUCGCCAUUGGAUGGGCCCGCGUCGGAUUAGCUAGUUGGUGGGGUAACGGCCUACCAAGGCGACGAUCCGUAGCUGGUCUGAGAGGAUGAUCAGCCACACUGGGACUGAGACACGGCCCAGACUCCUACGGGAGGCAGCAGUAGGGAAUAUUGGACAAUGGGCGCAAGCCUGAUCCAGCCAUGCCGCGUGAGUGACGAAGGCCUUCGGGUUGUAAAGCUCUUUUGGCGGGGACG
rnacentral:rRNA from 1 species